rnacentral:rRNA from 1 species
AUUUAAAAUUUUAUAUUAAUUAUUUUUUAAUAAAGUAUUAUUUUGUUUUAUUAAUUAUUAAUGAAAAAAUUAAAAAUAUUAUAGUAAAUAGUAUAGUGAUAGAAUAAUGAAAUAAUUUGAAAAUUUAAAUUAUUUAAAAGAAUAAUUAAUUUUUAGUACCUUGUGUAUCAGGGUUUAUUAAUUAAAAAUUAUAAAUGUAGUUUUCUCGAUUUUAAAAGAGUUAAAUAAAUAUUAAUAUUAAUGUAAAAUAAUUAUAAUUAAUAUUUAUUUAGUAAUGAAACGUUAUUCGUUUUUAAAUAUAUCUAGUUUUUUAAGAAAUAAAUUUAAUUUAGUUAUAAAUAAAAAUUAAUUUAAAUUUUAAAAUUAAUUUUAUUUAUAAUAAAUAUUUUAAGGGAUAAGCUUUAAAAUAAAUUUAUAUAAAUUAUUUAAAUUAAAAUAUAUUUAUAGAAUUAAAAAUUUUUAUUAAUAAUAGUUUGUUAUAAUUAAUUAUUUAUUUUAUUUAUUUAUAUAUAAGUUUUAUAUUUUUUAUUAAAAUUAUUUAUUUAAUUUAUAAUUAGAUGUAAUAAUGAUAAAAUUAGUAUAAUUUAUUGUAAGAAUAAUUUAUUUUUAUAAGAUUAAUUUAAGGAAUUCGGCAAAAUAAUUCUUCGCCUGUUUAAUAAAAACAUGUCUUUUUGAUAAUAAUUUAAAGUCUGACCUGCCCUAUGAUAUUUAAAUGGCCGCAGUAUUUUGACUGUGCAAAGGUAGCAUAAUCAUUAGUUUUUUAAUUGAAAGCUGGAAUGAAUGGUUGGACGAAGGAGUUACUGUCUCAAAUUAAUUUAAUUAGAAUUUUAUUUUUAAGUUAAAAAGCUUAAAUAUAUUUAAAAGACGAGAAGACCCUAUAGAGUUUUAUUUAUAUCAAAAUAAUUCUUUUUUAAUAUUAUGUAUUUAAGUAUAAAUUUUAUUGGGGUGAUAAAUAAAUUAAUUAAACUUUAUUUUUUUUAUUACAUAAAUUAAUGAAAUAUUGAUCCAUUAUUAAUGAUUAUAAGAUUAAAUUACCUUAGGGAUAACAGCGUUAUCUUUUUAGAGAGUUCAAAUCGAUAAAAAGGAUUGCGACCUCGAUGUUGGAUUAAAGUUAAUUAUUGGUGUAGAAGCUAAAAUAAUUAAGUCUGUUCGACUUUUAAAACUUUACAUGAUCUGAGUUUAAACCGGCGUGAGCCAGGUUGGUUUCUAUCUUUAAAAAAUUAAAAUAUUUUAGUACGAAAGGACCAAAUAUUUAUAAUAUUUAUUUAUUUUUGAAUAUUAUU